AUUGAACGCUGGCGGCAUGCUUUACACAUGCAAGUCGAACGGUAGAGGGGGCAACCCCUUGAGAGUGGCGAACGGGUGAGUAAUGCAUCGGAACGUGCCCAGUCGUGGGGGAUAACGCAGCGAAAGCUGUGCUAAUACCGCAUACGAUCUCUGGAUGAAAGCGGGGGACCGAAAGGCCUCGCGCGAUUGGAGCGGCCGAUGUCAGGUUAGGUAGUUGGUGGGGUAAAGGCUCACCAAGCCAACGAUCUGUAGCUGGUCUGAGAGGACGAUAAGCCACGCGGGGACUGAGACACGGCCCAGACUCCUACGGGAGGCAGCAGUGGGGAAUUUUGUACAAUGGGCGCAAGCCUGAUCCAGCAAUGCCGCGUGCAGGAAGAAGGCCUUCGGGUUGUAAACUGCUUUUGUACGGAACGAAAAGGUCUGGGUUAAUACCCUGGGCACAUGACGGUACCGUAAGAAUAAGCACCGGCUAACUACGUGCCAGCCGCCGCAGUAA
rnacentral:rRNA from 1 species